rnacentral:rRNA from 1 species
UACGGAGGGAGCUAGCGUUAUUCGGAAUUACUGGGCGUAAAGCGUGCGUAGGUGGUUUGUUAAGUCUGAUGUGAAAGCCCUGGGCUCAACCUGGGAAUUGCAUUGGAUACUGGCAGGCUAGAGUGCGGUAGAGGGUAGUGGAAUUCCCGGUGUAGCAGUGAAAUGCGUAGAGAUCGGGAGGAACAUCCGUGGCGAAGGCGGCCCACUGGGCCGGACCUGACGCUGAGGCACGAAGGCGUGGGGAGCGAACGGG